UACAGCCAGCCAUGCAAAAACACAGCAAGCCCCAUGUUCCAUGGUGAUGCCUUAACAGGGCAGCUCAGGCCUGCAUUGGGAUGCCCAGAAAGGCACCAACCUAUCCAGACCUGCUGGAGUGAUGAGUGGGGUUUAUAAGUGAGCCCCAGCCCCACAACAUGUCCGACAGUACUAAAAGUCUGAGCCAUAACAAAAGCAGCCCCCAAGGGGCUGUCCCAUUGCCUCGCUCCUGCCUGUGCCUCUGCCCAGCCAGGGCCCAUAGCUGCAAAUAUUAGCAGCAACACAGCCAGCUAGCUCGGCCUCCUGAGAACCAGCUGCAGCCUGGCACUUGGUCUGUUCGAAAUAGCGGGUCGCAAAGCAACUCUUCCUGGAGGUAAAUUACUGUCGCUAGCUCUGCGGCGGGCUGAGCUCCUUUGUGUACAGUCGGAGCCUUAGGAGCCCCGGGGGGGCUGCCUUUGGACCCUCCUCCACAGUUUGAACCUUUGCUCUCCAACCCCACCCCUCCUUUUUAUUUUUUUAAACUCUGCUGUCAUCCUUGAUGAAAAGCUUAUAGCUCAAGCUGAUCAGGCAUCCUCACUCUGCCCUCCGGCUGGGAGAGGAGGGAAAUACUGUGGGGGCUGGGGAACGAGAUCUGGGCUAGUCCUUGUCUCUGCCAUUACAGCCACCGUGCCUGCCUCCCUCACUGCAGCAGCAUCUCCGGCUCAGGCUCUCCCUCCCCUGCAGCCCAAACAGGCAGCCUGUGCCCCUGCCUCCGCCACAUCCACCAUGCUGGAUAUUUUCAUCUUAAUGUUUUUUGCCAUCAUUGGCCUGGUGAUCCUCUCCUACAUCAUCUACCUGCUCUAGGAGCCCCAACAACAGUGCAGGGGAAGGAUGAAGCACUGCAGCCAGCCAUCCUGCCAGUCAAAGCAUCGUCCAGCUCUCAGGCCUGGGUCCGACAAGUAUCACCUUUUCCUCAGCAGCAGCAGCCAUGCCAGAGCCAUCAGGAGAAAGAGUUAACCCUUUGCAAGCAACCCGCUUCCUGAGCAGCUGGAGAGAGGAAAACCCCAGGAAGAGCAGCCAUUUGACAGUGCAGAUAUCAAGACUUAUAAAUGCCCUUGACAGAAUGUCUGAGCUGUAAUGCAUUUGAAGAGCAAAUACAAAGCGACCUGGCCUCAAGAAUGGACAGAGAGAGAGAGAGAGAGAGGGCGCGUGUGUGAUAAUGAAACCUCACUAUGGAGAAGUGUGUUGUUUUGUUUGCCAUGCUGGUAUUAAGGAAAUGUAACUUCAUUGUUCCGUGGCCACAUAGUUAUCCCCCCUUCUUGGGAAAAAUACCUGCUGGUUUUUAGUUUUAGAAAGUAUAUAUAUAUUUUAAUUAAAAAAAUUAGAAAAGAUUAAAAAAGCAACACAAAAUGAGAGCAAAAUCUGAAUAUCACAAUAGUAUCUUAUGCAGACAUGUCACCUUUCAUUUUAACUGAUCACCCACUGUUUAUCACUGGGCAUUGCUAAAAUGCAGCCACUUCUGGGGUGGAGGGUGGCAACUAGCUAGAACACUUCAGGAAUGGCAGCAGGAAUUUUGGACAAGGACUAUAAAGGAAAAUCCCUAUGCAUAAGAAAGAUACAAGGGAUCAAUGGGAGGUCAGAGCUUAAUUUACCACUGCUUGGAGAGGUUUGAGUGAGAGGCUCUGGGGCCUUUUGGGAAAUUUCCCUGUAGGCCAACGUGAUCCUGAAUCAAGCCACUGCCUCUGUGUAUUAUCCCCCUUACACAGCCUUCUAGUGUGCAGGACCAGGAGGGGUCUGGAGUGGGGAAUGGGUGGGAAAGAGAAAAGAGGCCAAAACACCAGGGCCAAGAUUUUAAAAAGUGGGCACUUUUGGUGCCCGUCUUGGACAGUCCAUAUUCGUGGCCACUUCCACAAAGCUCAACCCACUCCCAGUGCUUGAAUUAUA